GAGUGAUCGAAAGAUGAAAAGCACUUUGAAAAGAGAGUUAAAAAGCACGUGAAAUUGUUGAAAGGGAAGCGCUUGCGAUCAGACUCGCCUUGGGGGUUCAGCCGGCAUUCGUGCCGGUGUACUUCCCCCAGGGCGGGCCAGCGUCGGUUUGGGUGGCUGGUCAAAGGCCCUUGGAAUGUAACGCCUCUCGGGGCGUCUUAUAGCCAAGGGUGCCAUGCAGCCUACCUGGACCGAGGAACGCGCUUCGGCUCGGACGCUGGCAUAAUGGUCGUAAGCGACCC
rnacentral:rRNA from 2 species